rfam:Schistosoma curassoni strain Dakar, Senegal genome assembly, scaffold: SCTD_scaffold0004565
AUCCAGCUGAUGGGUCCCGAAUAGGACGAAACGCACAUCCUGGAA